CCAACUUCUUCUGAACUCUCUCCCUCAACUGCUACUCUAGAUCUUGCCAAUCCCUGUCAAGUGUUUCUGUGUAGCAGUCGAGGUGAGAGGUUCAGGAAAUGUUGG
rnacentral:pre_miRNA from 13 species